rnacentral:rRNA from 1 species
GACGAACGCUGGCGGCGCGCUUAACACAUGCAAGUCGAGCGAGAACCAUUCCCUUCGGGAAUGGGACAGCGGCGAACGGGUGAGUAACACGUGGGUAAUCUGCCCUCGAUUCUGGGAUAGCCCGGGGAAACCCGGAUUAAUACCGGAUAGCCUCUCGAGCUUUCGAGCUCUUGAGAAAGGUAGCUUCGGCCUCCGAUCGAGGAUGAGCCCGCGGCGGAUUAGCUUGUUGGUGGGGAAUGGCCUACCAAGGCAACGAUCCGUAGCUGGUCUGAGAGGA